rnacentral:rRNA from 1 species
UGAGUAACCUGCCCUUCACUCUGGGAUAACUCCGGGAAACCGGGGCUAAUACUGGAUAUGACUCGAACAGGCAUCUGUUUCGGGUGGAAAGAUUUAUUGGUGGAGGAUGGACUCGCGGCCUAUCAGCUUGUUGGUGAGGUAAUGGCUCACCAAGGCGACGACGGGUAGCCGGCCUGAGAGGGCGAUCGGCCACACUGGGACUGAGACACGGCCCAGGCUCCUACGGGAGCA